rnacentral:piRNA from 1 species
AAAUGGGCUUCCUGGAACUUGUCUGGA